UUGGAACAGUCAAGGAUUUCUUUCUCUCUGCAGGUGAUCCUUGAAUUGUUAAUAAAAAGAAAAAAGAAGACAGAAUGAAAGUGCUUCAGGACUGAUUCCUUACCAGUCAUCUGUACAUUGUGUGACAAAC
rnacentral:lncRNA from 12 species